rnacentral:rRNA from 1 species
GAUGAACGCUAGCGGCAGGCUUAAUACAUGCGAGUCGAGGGGCAGCAGGACUGUAGCAAUACAGUUGCUGGCGACCGGCAAACGGGUGCGGAACACGUACGCAACCUACCCAAAACUGGGGGAUAGCCCGGGGAAACCCGGAUUAAUACCUCGUAACCUUUUUAAGUGGCAUCACUUGAUAAGUAUAGCUCCGGCGGUUUUGGAUGGGCGUGCGCCUGAUUAGGUAGUUGGUGCGGGUAACGGCCCACCAAGCCUGCGAUCAGUAACUGGUGUGAGAGCACGACCAGUCACACGGGCACUGAGACACGGGCCCGACUCCUACGGGAGGCAGCAGUAAGGAAUAUUGGUCAAUGGACGCAAGUCUGAACCAGCCAUGCCGCGUGAAGGAUGAAGGUCCUCUGGAUUGUAAACUUCUUUUAUGGGGGACGAAACCCGGAUAUUCUUAUCCGAUUGACGGUACCUCAGGAAUAAGCACCGGCUAACUCCGUG